CCGAAUAUCAAAAAGUUAUUGCCAUUUGAUAAGGAUCUGUUGGAAAGGAGGCUUGUUGCAUGGAAAGAAGUUGUUGGAACGAAUUAUGAUAAUUUCCCUAUUGGACUUAUUUGUGUUUGUUCUGACCACUUCCAAUCAGGUAAACCAGCUAACAUUUGCAAUGUAAACGAUAUUGCAAGCUUUAGAUGUUGGUGCUACUUGAUCUUCAUCAGCAUUCCAAGCAGUUUCAGUUCUACGACUGGGGAGUUCAUGCUCAGCAACAGCAAGUUGCAGCAAUGCACUAACAUGAAUGCAGACUCUCCCAAGCCUAUUUUAAUACAACAAUAAAUGAUUACUAGCA